GUGUCAGCCGCCGCGGUAAUACGGAGGGUGCAAACGUUGCUCGGAAUCAUUGGGCGUAAAGCGCACGUAGGCGGCUCCUCAAGUCGGAUGUGAAAGCCCUGGGCUCAACUCAGGAAGUGCAUCCGAAACUGUGGAGCUUGAAUGCCGGAGGGGCCCAGAGAAUUCCCGGUGUAGAGGUGAAAUUCGUAGAUAUCGGGAGGAAUACCAGUGGCGAAGGCGCUGGGCUGGACGGUCAUUGACGCUGAGGUGCGAAAGCGUGGGGAGCAAACAGGAUUAGAAACCCGCGUAGUCC
rnacentral:rRNA from 1 species